GACGAACGCUGGCGGCGUGCUUAACACAUGCAAGUCGAACGGAAAGGCACUGCUUUUGUGGGGUGAUCGAGUGGCGAACGGGUGAGUAACACGUGAGUAACCUGCCCUUGACUUUGGGAUAACUUCAGGAAACUGGGGCUAAUACCGGAUAGGAGAUCAUGCUGCAUGGUGGGGGUUGGAAAGUUUCGGCGGUUGGGGAUGGACUCGCGGCUUAUCAGCUUGUUGGUGGGGUAGUGGCUUACCAAGGCAUUGACGGGUAGCCGGCCUGAGAGGGUGACCGGCCACAUUGGUACUGAGAUACGGCCCAGACUCCUACGGGAGGCAGCAGUGGGGAAUAUUGCACAAUGGUCGGAAGCCUGAUGCAGCAACGCCGCGUUCGUGAUGACGGCCUUCUGGUUGUAAACCGCUUUCGCCUGUUACGAAGCUUUAGUGACGGUAAUGGGUAAAUAAGCACCGGCUAACUACGUG
rnacentral:rRNA from 1 species